GCCGGGCACGGUGGUGCAUGCCUGUAAUCUCAGUAACUUGGAAGGCCGAGGCAGGAGGAUCGCAAGUUCAAAGCCAGCCUCAGCAGAUUAAUGAGGCACUUAGCAACUCAACAAGACCCUGUCUCUA
rnacentral:sRNA from 1 species